AUUGUUUUUAUCGAUAUAAUUGAAACGAUACAGAGAAGAUUAGAAUAGUCUGUAUGCAAGUAUGACAUGUACAAAUCGAUUGAGAAAUGAAGUUUAU
rnacentral:snRNA from 1 species